UUAGCUCAUAUUUGUAUGGAAUGGGAUCGUUUGCCUACGUUUGCCGCUAGGGGCGCUGUUCCAACUGCAUACAAAAUUGGGCUA
rfam:Bombyx mori DNA, contig: Bm_scaf4_contig3892, strain: p50T/Dazao, build 2, whole genome shotgun sequence.